rnacentral:rRNA from 1 species
UACGGGGGGGGCAAGCGUUGUUCGGAAUUACUGGGCGUAAAGGGCUCGUAGGCGGCCAACUAAGUCGGACGUGAAAUCCCUCGGCUCAACCGGGGAACUGCGUCCGAUACUGGAUGGCUUGAGUUCGGGAGAGGGAUGCGGAAUUCCAGGUGUAGCGGUGAAAUGCGUAGAUAUCUGGAGGAACACCGGUGGCGAAGGCGGCAUCCUGGACCGACACUGACGCUGAGGAGCGAAAGCCAGGGGAGCAAACGGGA